rfam:Nicotiana attenuata strain TT chromosome 6, whole genome shotgun sequence.
UGGACAGAUUAUUGUAUUCGACUGUAUUCAGGGCGUGAAACAGGGGAUUACACUAUUUUUAAACAGAAAGUUAAUCAAUUAACAUAAUAGACUCCU